CCUACGGGAGGCAGCAGUGAGGAAUAUUGGUCAAUGGCCGAUAGCCUGAACCAGCCAAGUAGCGUGAGGGAUGACUGCCCUAUGGGUUGUAAACUUCUUUUGUAUGGGAAUAAAGUGCAGUAUGUAUACUGCUUUGAAUGUACCUUAUGAAUAAGGAUCGGCUAACUCCGUGCCAGCAGCCGCGGUAAUACGGAGGAUUCGAGCGUUAUCCGGAUUUAUUGGGUUUAAAGGGUGCGUAGGCGGGUAGUGAAGUCAGUGGUGAAAGUUAGGGGCUCAACCCUAAAAUUGCAGUUGAUACUGGGUUCCUUGAGUACGGGAGAGGUAGGCGGAAUGCGUGGUGUAGCGGUGAAAUGCAUAGAUAUCACGAAGAACUCCGAUUGCGAAGGCAGCGUGCUGGAGUGCAACUGACGCUGAUGCUCGAAAGUGUGGGUAUCGAACAGGAUUAGAUACCCGUGUAGUC
rnacentral:rRNA from 1 species